GUGGGGGACAACAGUUGGAAACGACUGCUAAUACCGCAUAAGCCCACGGUACCGCAUGGUACUGAGGGAAAAGGAUUUAUUCGCUUUAGGAUGGACUCGCGUCCAAUUAGCUAGUUGGUGAGGUAACGGCCCACCAAGGCGACGAUUGGUAGCCGGACUGAGAGGUUGAACGGCCACAUUGGGACUGAGACACGGCCCAGACUCCUACGGGAGGCAGCAGUGGGGGAUAUUGCACAAUGGGGGAAACCCUGAUGCAGCGACGCCGCGUGGAGGAAGAAGGUUUUCGGAUUGUAAACUCCUGUCGUUAGGGACGAUAAUGACGGUACCUAACAAGAAAGCACCGGCUAACUACGUGCCAGCAGCCGCGGUAAAACGUAGGGUGCAAGCGUUGUCCGGAAUUACUGGGUGUAAAGGGAGCGCAGCGGGAAGACAAGUUGGAAGUGAAAACCAUGGGCUCAACCCAUGAAUUGCUUUCAAAACUGUUUUUCUUGAGUAGUGCAGAGGUAGAUGGAAUUCC
rnacentral:rRNA from 1 species